GUUCUAAUAGUUUAAACAAAAAACAAUGAUCUUGUAAAUCAUAAAUGUAAUUCUUAGAAUU
rnacentral:tRNA from 1 species